rnacentral:rRNA from 1 species
UACGUAGGGUCCGAGCGUUGUCCGGAAUUAUUGGGCGUAAAGGGCUCGUAGGCGGUCUGUCGCGUCGGGAGUGAAAACUCAGGGCUCAACCCUGAGCGUGCUUCCGAUACGGGCAGACUAGAGGUAUGCAGGGGAGAACGGAAUUCCUGGUGUAGCGGUGAAAUGCGCAGAUAUCAGGAGGAACACCGGUGGCGAAGGCGGUUCUCUGGGCAUUACCUGACGCUGAGGAGCGAAAGCAUGGGGAGCGAACAGG